GACGAACGCUGGCGGCGUGCCUAAUACAUGCAAGUCGAACGAAGCUGUUUUAACUGGUGCUUGCACCGACUUAAACAACUGAGUGGCGAACGGGUGAGUAACACGUGGGUAACCUGCCCCAAAGCGGGGGAUAACAUUUGGAAACAGAUGCUAAUACCGCAUAACCACAGAAACCACAUGGUUUCUGUGUCAAAGAUGGUUUCGGCUAUCACUUUGGGAUGGACCCGCGGCGUAUUAGCUAGUUGGUAAGGUAAUGGCUUACCAAGGCAAUGAUACGUAGCCGAACUGAGAGGUUGAUCGGCCACAUUGGGACUGAGACACGGCCCAAACUCCUACGGGAGGCAGCAGUAGGGAAUCUUCCACAAUGGACGAAAGUCUGAUGGAGCAACGCCGCGUGAGUGAAGAAGGUUUUCGGAUCGUAGAACUCUGUUGUCAGAGAAGAACGUGUGCGAGAGUAACUGCUCGUGCAGUGACGGUAUCUGGCCAGAAAGCCACGGCUAACUACGUGCCAGCAGCCGCGGUAA
rnacentral:rRNA from 1 species